UUAGUUUAGUUUGUGAUUUCAAUAUAAUUAAUUUCUGUUUCUGUAGCGGUUUGUUCGGACGUCGAACGUACGCUCGCUCGCUCGCUCGCUCGCUCGCUCGCUAGCCCGCUCGUUCGUUCGCACGCUCGCCAGUUCGAUUGCUGGCUUCGCAUCAGCUUCAAUUGUUGUGUUUCAGUUUCUGUUUUCUGUGUUCCGUUCAUCGUAGCCAUCGUCGCCGUCGUCGUCGCUGUCGUCGCGGUUGUCGCUGUCAUUGUCGCAGUUACAUUGUUACAACUUUUUGUUAUUGUUUCGCUUAGUGGCCGCGCGCAUCGGCAUUAAAAAUCGCAAAUCGCAAAUCGCAAAUCGAAAAUCCAAAAAUCACAUUUGAAAUUGAAAUCGGUAUCAAAUUUGAAAAUGUUCAACAUCAAAUGAUCGAAUAUUCAUGUUUUGUUUUUGUUUUUGUUUUGUGAAUGCACCUGUGCCGGAUAAAUAGUGGGGUUAAACAGCUGAAGCAAGGCGCCAUUUUGCGUUUGAGAGCGGAUGCAACAAAUGUUCGUUCAAACAAAAACAAAAAGCAACAGCAACAGUAACAGCAACAGUAACAGUACAUUUACAUAGUUCACAAUGAGUUAAUGUAACAGAAGCAACAACAAUGUACACUUGCAGAAAACGGUGCGACAAAGCAGCAACAACAACAACAACAACAAAUACCUCCGCACCGCAACGGCUGUACAAAUAUUAAUAAAAAGAACACAAAAAAUAUUUAAAAAAAAAAAACAACAACAAAUGCAAAACUCCCAA
rnacentral:misc_RNA from 1 species